UACGUAGGGCGCAAGCGUUGUCCGGAUUCACUGGGUGUAAAGGGUGCGUAGGCGGGGAAGUAAGUCCGCGGUGAAAUCUCACGGCUCAACCGUGAAACUGCCGUUGAUACUGCUUUUCUUGAGUUCGGGAGAGGUUGAUGGAAUUCCAGGUGUAGCGGUGAAAUGCGUAGAUAUCUGGAAGAACACCUGUGGCGAAAGCGGCUCACUGGACCAUAACUGACGCUGAGGCGCGAAAGCUAGGGGAGCAAACAGG
rnacentral:rRNA from 1 species